rnacentral:rRNA from 2 species
GGGUUGUGAGGUUAAGCGACUAAGCGUACACGGUGGAUGCCCUGGCAGUCAGAGGCGAUGAAGGGCGUGCUAAUCUGCGAUAAGCGCCGGUAAGGUGAUAUGAACCGUUAUAACCGGCGAUACCCGAAUGGGGAAACCCAGUGUGACUCGUCACACUAUCAUUAACUGAAUCCAUAGGUUAAUGAGGCGAACCGGGGGAACUGAAACAUCUAAGUACCCCGAGGAAAAGAAAUCAACCGAGAUUCCCCCAGUAGCGGCGAGCGAACGGGGAGGAGCCCAGAGCCUGAAUCAGCAUAUGUGUUAGUGGAAGCGUCUGGAAAGGCGCGCGAUACAGGGUGACAGCCCCGUACACAAAAGCGCAUGUGCUGUGAGCUCGAUGAGUAGGGCGGGACACGUGGUAUCCUGUCUGAAUAUGGGGGGACCAUCCUCCAAGGCUAAAUACUCCUGACUGACCGAUAGUGAACCAGUACCGUGAGGGAAAGGCGAAAAGAACCCCGGCGAGGGGAGUGAAAAAGAACCUGAAACCGUGUACGUACAAGCAGUGGGAGCCCCACCACUAAGCCAGUGGUGAACUCCACAUACGCAUCCUUUGCUGAGGAUACGGUUAACGGAGCGAAAGCGACGUUCAACCGCAAAAGAAGCAGAGGGGGCUUAGUGGUGGGGUGACUGCGUACCUUUUGUAUAAUGGGUCAGCGACUUAUAUUCUGUAGCAAGGUUAACCGUAUAGGGGAGCCGGAGGGAAACCGAGUCUUAACCGGGCGUUAAGUUGCAGGGUAUAGACCCGAAACCCGGUGAUCUAGCCAUGGGCAGGUUGAAGGUUGGGUAACACUAACUGGAGGACCGAACCGACUAAUGUUGAAAAAUUAGCGGAUGACCUGUGGCUGGGGGUGAAAGGCCAAUCAAACCGGGAGAUAGCUGGUUCUCCCCGAAAGCUAUUUAGGUAGC